UCAUAUUCAAAAAGGAUAAUUCAAAUAUGUUGAGAAUUGAAAGAGUUGUGAUCUUUGGAACCUUGACUUCAAAAUAUUGACUUUUAGGUCAAACCACUUGGAACAAGCUUCUGUACUUGGACUUUUCUUGCACUUCAAAGCACAUGGAUGAUCAUAUUAACUCAAAAUAGGGUGUCCUUGAUUGUCUCUUAAUUAAAUUUCUCAAAUCUUG
rnacentral:lncRNA from 1 species